rnacentral:rRNA from 13 species
GAAGAACGCAGCGAAAUGCGAUACGUAGUGUGAAUUGCAGAAUUCCGCGAAUCAUCGAGUCUUUGAACGCAAGUUGCGCCCGAGGCUCGUCCGAGGGCAUUUCCGUUAGAGCGUCACC